rnacentral:rRNA from 1 species
CCUACGGGAGGCAGCAGUGAGGAAUAUUGGUCAAUGGUCGGGAGACUGAACCAGCCAAGCCGCGUGAGGGAUGAAGGUACAGAGUAUCGUAAACCUCUUUUGUCAGGGAACAAAGGCGGGGACGUGUCCCCGGAUGAGUGUAUCUGAAGAAAAAGCAUCGGAUAACUACGUGCCAGCCGCCGCGGUAAUACGGAGGAUGCGAGCGUUAUCCGGAUGUAUUGGGUGAAGGGGGUGCGACGGCGGUAGGGUAAGUUAGCGGUCAAAGCCCGGGGCUAAACCCGGGACCGCCUUUGAAACUGGGCGUCUAGAGUGGAGGAGAGGUAGGCGGAAUGCGCGGUGUAGCGGGGAAAUGCAUAGAUAUCGGGAGGAACACCAGUGGCGAAGGCGGCUUGCUGGCCCCACACUGACGUUGAGGCUCGAAAGCGUGGGGAGCAAACAGGAUUAGAGACCCUUGUAGUC